GAUGAACGCUGACAGAAUGCUUAACACAUGCAAGUCCACUUGAACUUCGGUUUGGGUGGCGGACGGGCGAGUAACGCGUAAAGAACUUGCCUCACAGAUAGGGACAACAUUUGGAAACGAAUGCUAAUACCUGAUAUUAUGAUUAUAUGGCAUCGUAUAAUUAUGAAAGCUAUAUGCGCUGUGAGAGAGCUUUGCGUCCCAUUAGCUAGUUGGAGAGGUAACGGCUCACCAAGGCGAUGAUGGGUAGCCGGCCUGAGAGGGUGAUCGGCCACAAGGGGACUGAGACACGGCCCUUACUCCUACGGGAGGCAGCAGUGGGGAAUAUUGGACAAUGGACCAAGAGUCUGAUCCAGCAAUUCUGUGUGCACGAUGAAGUUUUUCGGAAUGUAAAGUGCUUUCAGUUGGGAAGAAAAAAAUGACGGUACCAACAGAAGAAGAGACGGCUAAAUACGUG
rnacentral:rRNA from 1 species